UCUCCGUAGGUGAACCUGCGGAGGGAUCAUUACUGAGUGAGGGCUCACGCCCGACCUCCAACCCCAUGUGAACCGCAACUGUUGCUUCGGGGGCGACCCUGCCGUUCGCGGCGUGGGCCCCCCGGAGCCCAUCAAACCCUGCGUAACUGAGUCGUCGGAGUUUAAACAAAUUAAACAAAACUUUCAACAACGGAUCUCUUGGUUCGGGCAUCGAUGAAGAACGCAGC
rnacentral:misc_RNA from 1 species